AGGAGCCGUAUGAGGCGGAAGCUUCACGUACGGUUCUAAAGCCGAGCCUUUGCAGCCAACGAUGGAUACCUUAC
rfam:Picea glauca, whole genome shotgun sequence.